GCUGGAUUAUAGGCUGGUUGUUUUCACACACUGCAGCCACACUGUGUUCAAACACAUUAUAAAAGUGAUUUUUGCAUUCUAUGGCACCUUUAAUGACAUUUUGAAAGGAACUAGUGAAAGUGGCGUGAGGUGUGGCCAAGAAUGGUAACCCAUACUAAUUUGUGCUUUGCAUUUAACCCAUCCAAGUGCACACACAGAAGUGAGUAGUGAACAUACACACAACCGGAGCAGUAGUCAGCCAUUUUUGCUGCGGCACCUGGGCAGCGAUUGAGGGUUGGGCACCUCAGUCGUGAGCACUGAAGUUUCAGUCAGAGACUCUGAUCUGCAGUGAGUGGGCAGACAUCUGAUCUUCUUACAUGACAGCUUUGUUUUCAGCACUACCUCAUUUAGUUUGCUGUCUAAUUUUACUUUGGAAGGAGAAAAUUGGACCUUGUUCAUUUUGCUGCCUCAGUGGCUCCAGCAAUAAGAAUCCACAGUGAGACAGAAAGAGACAGUCGUGAACCACACACAAUCACACACACCAUAACUCACUCAAUUAAUC
ensembl:lncRNA